AUCGAUUAUNCACGCUAANUUCUACUUCAAUCCUCAAAUUUAUACACCGACAUCUNNNNNAUUAAUUUUUAAAUAUUUCUUUCAAGAAACGAUAUAAAGUUAGGUCAAGGUGUAGUCUAUAUUAAAGAAUGAGAUGAAUUACAUUAAAUAUUAUUUAAAGAUUAUUAAUAAAUAUAUUUAUAUAAAUAAGGAUUUAAAAGUAAAAUUCAAAGAAUAAUUUAACGUGAUAUAGAUAUUAAAUGUGCACACAUCGCCC
rnacentral:rRNA from 1 species